GGAUUUGGUCGUGCAGAUUAUUUUCUUGUUGGCAAGGACUUUCCCAGCUAUAUUGAAUGUCAAGAGAAGGUUGAUGAAGCCUACAAAGAUCAGAAGACAUGGACGCGGAUGUCGAUCUUGAAUACAGCUGGUUCCUACAAAUUCAGCAGUGACAGGACUAUACAUGAAUAUGCAAAAGACAUCUGGAACAUCGAGCCUGUUCAGUUGCCAUAAAGAAUCUGUUCUUACUGGUUCAUGGUAUCGAAAAGUUUUUCUUGUUGCGGAGAAAGGCCGAGGAUCCAUAAAUAAUUGAUCACAAAACAAGUUACUUCCCAUAAGUUGAUCAAGCGGCCCUCGUGAUGAGAAAUAAAACAUAAUGUCAGUCCUUAUAGAAGUUGAGAGAUAGAUU
rnacentral:misc_RNA from 1 species